UUUAUGGAGAGUUUGAUCCUGGCUCAGGAUGAACGCUGGCGGCGUGCCUAAUACAUGCAAGUCGAGCGAACGGACGAGAAGCUUGCUUCUCUGAUGUUAGCGGCGGACGGGUGAGUAACACGUGGAUAACCUACCUAUAAGACUGGGAUAACUUCGGGAAACCGGAGCUAAUACCGGAUAAUAUUUUGAACCGCAUGGUUCAAAAGUGAAAGACGGUCUUGCUGUCACUUAUAGAUGGAUCCGCGCUGCAUUAGCUAGUUGGUAAGGUAACGGCUUACCAAGGCAACGAUGCAUAGUCGACCUGAGAGGGUGAUCGG
rnacentral:rRNA from 1 species